GAUGAACGCUGGCGGCGUGCCUAAUACAUGCAAGUCGAGCGAACAGACGAGGCGCUUGCUCCUCUGACGUUAGCGGCGGACGGGUGAGUAACACGUGGAUAACCUACCUAUAAGACUGGGAUAACUUCGGGAAACCGGAGCUAAUACCGGAUAAUAUAUUGAACCGCAUGGUUCAAUAGUGAAAGACGGUUUUGCUGUCACUUAUAGAUGGAUCCGCGCCGCAUUAGCUAGUUGGUAAGGUAACGGCUUACCAAGGCAACGAUGCGUAGCCGACCUGAGAGGGUGAUCGGCCACACUGGAACUGAGACACGGUCCAGACUCCUACGGGAGGCAGCAGUAGGGAAUCUUCCGCGAUGGGCGAAAGCUUGACGGAGCAACGCCGCGUGAGUGAUGAAGGUCUUCGGAUCGUAAAACUCUGUUAUUAGGGAAGAACAAAUGUGUAAGUAACUAUGCACGUCUUGACGGUACCUAAUCAGAAAGCCACGGCUAACUACGUG
rnacentral:rRNA from 1 species